AUUGAACGCUGGCGGCAGGCUUAACACAUGCAAGUCGAGCGGAGAGAGGUAGCUUGCUACUGAUCUUAGCGGCGGACGGGUGAGUAAUGCUUAGGAAUCUGCCUAUUAGUGGGGGACAACAUUUCGAAAGGAAUGCUAAUACCGCAUACGUCCUACGGGAGAAAGCAGGGGAUCUUCGGACCUUGCGCUAAUAGAUGAGCCUAAGUCGGCUUAGCUAGUUGGUGGGGUAAAGGCCUACCAAGGCGACGAUCUGUAGCGGGUCUGAGAGGAUGGUCCGCCACACUUGUACUGUGACUCGGCCCAGACUCCUACGGAAGGCAGCAGUGGGGAAUAUUGGACACUGGGCGCAAGCCUGAUCCAGCCAUGCCGCGUGUGUGAAGAAGGCCUUAUUGUUGUAAAGCACUUUAAGCGAGGAGGAGGCUACUUUAGAUAAUACCUAGAGAUAGUGGACGUUACUCGCAGAAUAAGCACCGGCUAACUCUGUGCCAGCCGCCGCGGUAAAAC
rnacentral:rRNA from 1 species